UGAAUUUCGAAACCUCAAUUUAACAUUAUCAAGGAGAUCAUGUCUGACAUUUUGGUAUCAACUGUUCAGUUAUGUAACUGAGCCGAAAGAAGUAUUACGUGUUAUGAUUGGCGAUAAUAUUGUUGCGACGAAAUCCGGUAACCAGGUUUAUAGAUGGUUAAAAGCUACAAUAGACCUGUAUAAUAGAAAAGUGCCCAAUAUUAAAUUUAUAGGCAUUCUUCGUAAUUACUGGGCGGGCGGAAUAGCAAUAGAUGACAUUUAUUUAACAGAAAG
rnacentral:lncRNA from 1 species